AAAUGAAAGAUACCCCACAAGCCAAUCGGGACCUUCUCUUGUGAAGCCCAGACGGAAGAGAGAGAACAAAGGCUGAACCUUAACUUCCAAUGCCCCGCCCCUCCACGCCACUCCGCCAACCACCAGGAUGCCCGGCAUCAGAACAUCCCAGGCAUUCCUGUGAUUGGCAGAUAGCAGGUUGAUUGGCAUGUCGGACCCCGCGAACACUGGGAACUGCGCUCUGCACAGUCAGCAGUGGCGGACAGUGAUCAGAUCUUUACUGAGCUGAUCCGCUCCAUUGAGAGAAGGAGCUCUGAGGUGAAGGAGCUGAUCAGAGCCCAAGAGAAGGCUCAAGUGAGUCAAGCUGAAGGACUCCUGGAGCAACUGAAGCAGGAGAUAGCUGAGCUGAGGAAGAGAAGCACUGAGCUGGAGCAGCUCUCA